UACGAAGGGGGCUAGCGUUGUUCGGAAUUACUGGGCGUAAAGCGCGCGCAGGCGGUUCUACAAGUCAGUGGUGAAAGCCCGGAGCUCAACUCCGGAACUGCCAUUGAAACUGUUGAACUUGAGGACGAGAGAGGUGAGUGGAAUUCCCAGUGUAGAGGUGAAAUUCGUAGAUAUUGGGAAGAACACCAGUGGCGAAGGCGGCUCACUGGCUCGUAUCUGACGCUCAGGCGCGAUAGCGUGGGGAUCAAACAGG
rnacentral:rRNA from 1 species